GCCUGGAUAGCUCAGUUGGUAAAGAGUAUGGUGCCGAUAAUGCCACAGUUGCAGGUUUGAUCCCUGUGUGGGACA